rnacentral:rRNA from 1 species
UACGUAGGGUGCAAGCGUUGUCCGGAAUUAUUGGGCGUAAAGAGCCCGUAGGCGGUUUGUCGCGUCUGCUGUGAAAACCCGAGGCUCAACCUCGGGCCUGCAGUGGGUACGGGCAGACUAGAGUGCGGUAGGGGAGACUGGAAUUCCUGGUGUAGCGGUGAAAUGCGCAGAUAUCAGGAGGAACACCGGUGGCGAAGGCGGGUCUCUGGGCCGUAACUGACGCUGAGGAGCGAAAGCGUGGGGAGCGAACAGG